AAGUCAUCAUGGCCCUUACGAUAGGGCUACACACGUGCUACAAUGGCAUAAUACAAAGGAGAAGCGAACUCGCGAGAGCAAGCGGACCUACAUAAAGUAUGUCGUAGUCCGGAUUGGAGUCUGCAACUCGACUCCAUGAAGUCGGAAUCGCUAGUAAUCGUAGAUCAGAAUGCUACGGUGAAUACGUUCCCGGGCCUU
rnacentral:rRNA from 1 species